CCUACGGGAGGCAGCAGUGAGGAAUAUUGGUCAAUGGACGAGAGUCUGAACCAGCCAAGUAGCGUGAAGGAUGACUGCCCUAUGGGUUGUAAACUUCUUUUAUAUGGGAAUAAAAUGUUCCACGUGUGGGAUUUUGUAUGUACCAUAUGAAUAAGGAUCGGCUAACUCCGUGCCAGCAGCCGCGGUAAUACGGAGGAUCCGAGCGUUAUCCGGAUUUAUUGGGUUUAAAGGGAGCGUAGGUGGAUUGUUAAGUCAGUUGUGAAAGUUUGCGGCUCAACCGUAAAAUUGCAGUUGAAACUGGCAGUCUUGAGUACAGUAGAGGUGGGCGGAAGUCGUGGUGGAGCGGUGAAAUGCUUAGAUAUCACGAAGAACUCCGAUUGCGAAGGCAGUUCACUGGACUGCAACUGACACUGAGGCUCGAAAGUGUGGGUAUCAAACAGGAUUAGAUACCCGAGUAGUC
rnacentral:rRNA from 1 species